CGUGUAGGCGGGUCUUUAAGUCAGGGGUGAAAUGCCAAGGCUCAACCUUGGAACUGCCUUUGAUACUGGAGAUCUUGAGUCCGGGAGAGGUGAGUGGAACUGCGAGUGUAGAGGUGAAAUUCGUAGAUAUUCGCAAGAACACCAGUGGCGAAGGCGGCUCACUGGCCCGGAACUGACGCUGAGACGCGAAAGCGUGGGGAGCAAACAGGAUUAGAUACCCUGGUAGUCCACGCUGUAAACGAUGGAUGCUAGCCGUUGGGGAGCUUGCUCUUCAGUGGCGCCGCUAACGCUUUAAGCAUCCCGCCUGGGGAGUACGGUCGCAAGAUUAAA
rnacentral:rRNA from 1 species